CAGCCGUAAACUAUGCGCGUUAGGUGUACUGGUGACCACGAGUCACCGGGGUGCCGAAGGGAAACCGUGAAACGUGCCGCCUGGGAAGUACGGUCGCAAGGCUGAAACUUAAAGGAAUUGGCGGGGGAGCACCGCAACGGGAGGAGCGUGCGGUUUAAUUGGACUCAACGCCGGAAACUCACCGGGGGCGACAGCAAUAUGUAGGUCAAGCUAAAGACUUUACCAGAAUCGCUGAGAGGAGGUGCAUGGCGUAGUCGUGU
rnacentral:rRNA from 1 species